GUUGUAUGGUUAAGUGACUAAGCGUACACGGUGGAUGCCUUGGCAGUCAGAGGCGAUGAAAGACGUAGUAACUUGCGAUAAGCCCAGAUUAGGUAGUAACAACCAUUUGAGUCUGGGAUUUCUGAAUGGGGAAACCCACUUACAUAAGUAAGUAUCAUUAACUGAAUACAUAGGUUAAUGAGGCGAACCGGGGGAACUGAAACAUCUAAGUACCCCGAGGAAAAGAAAUCAACCGAGAUUCCGAAAGUAGCGGCGAGCGAAAUUGGACUAGCCCUUAAGCUUUACACGCGUUAGACGAACGGUCUGGAAAGUCCGACGAUACAGGGUGAUAGUCCCGUAGUUGACGACGUGUGUUCAGUGAAAUCGAGUAGGGCGGGACACGUGAUAUCCUGUCUGAAUAUGGGGGGACCAUCCUCCAAGGCUAAAUACUACUGACUGACCGAUAGUGAACCAGUACCGUGAGGGAAAGGCGAAAAGAACCCCUGUGAGGGGAGUGAAAUAGAACCUGAAACCGUGUACGUACAAGCAGUAGGAGCAGGCUUUGUCCUGUGACUGCGUACCUUUUGUAUAAUGGGUCAGCGACUUAUAUUCAGUGGCAAGGUUAACCAUCUAGGGGAGCCGUAGGGAAACCGAGUCUUAACUGGGCGUUCAGUCUCUGGAUAUAGACCCGAAACCAGGUGAUCUAGCCAUGGGCAGGUUGAAGGUUGAGUAACAUCAACUGGAGGACCGAACCGACUAAUGUUGAAAAAUUAGCGGAUGACUUGUGGCUAGGGGUGAAAGGCCAAUCAAACCUGGAGAUAGCUGGUUCUCCCCGAAAGCUAUUUAGGUAGCGCCUCGGACGAAUACUACUGGGGGUAGAGCACUGUUAAGGCUAGGGGGUCAUCCCGACUUACCAACCCUUUGCAAACUCCGAAUACCAGUAAGUACUAUCCGGGAGACACACGGCGGGUGCUAACGUCCGUCGUGGAGAGGGAAACAACCCAGACCGCCAGCUAAGGUCCCAAAUUACUACUAAGUGGGAAACGAUGUGGGAAGGCUCAGACAGCCAGGAUGUUGGCUUAGAAGCAGCCAUCAUUUAAAGAAAGCGUAAUAGCUCACUGGUCGAGUCGGCCUGCGCGGAAGAUGUAACGGGGCUAAGUAGUAAACCGAAGCUGCGGCAAUGUGCUUUUGCACAUUGGGUAGGGGAGCGUUCUGUAAGCGGUUGAAGGUGUGUGGUAACGCAUGCUGGACGUAUCAGAAGUGCGAAUGCUGACAUGAGUAACGAUAAAGGGGGUGAAAAACCUCCUCGCCGGAAGACCAAGGGUUCCUGUCCAACGUUAAUCGGGGCAGGGUAAGUCGACCCCUAAGGCGAGGCCGAAAGGCGUAGUCGAUGGGAAACGGGUUAAUAUUCCCGUACUUCUUACAAUUGCGAUGGGGGGACGGAGAAGGCUAGGUGGGCCUGGCGACGGUUGUCCAGGUUCAAGUGCGUAGGCUUGAGAGUUAGGUAAAUCCGGCUCUCUCUAAGGCUGAGACACGACGUCGAGCACCUACGGGUGUGAAGUCAUUGAUGCCAUGCUUCCAGGAAAAGCCUCUAAGCUUCAGAUUGUAAGGAAUCGUACCCCAAACCGACACAGGUGGUCGGGUAGAGAAUACCAAGGCGCUUGAGAGAACUCGGGUGAAGGAACUAGGCAAAAUGGUACCGUAACUUCGGGAGAAGGUACGCUCUUGAUGGUGAAGUCCCUUGCGGAUGGAGCUGACGAGAGUCGCAGAUACCAGGUGGCUGCAACUGUUUAUUAAAAACACAGCACUGUGCAAAAUCGUAAGAUGACGUAUACGGUGUGACGCCUGCCCGGUGCCGGAAGGUUAAUUGAUGGGGUUAGACUUCGGUCGAAGCUCUUGAUCGAAGCCCCGGUAAACGGCGGCCGUAACUAUAACGGUCCUAAGGUAGCGAAAUUCCUUGUCGGGUAAGUUCCGACCUGCACGAAUGGCGUAAUGAUGGCCACGCUGUCUCCACCCGAGACUCAGUGAAAUUGAAAUCGCUGUGAAGAUGCAGUGUACCCGCGGCUAGACGGAAAGACCCCGUGAACCUUUACUACAGCUUGGCACUGAACAUUGACCCUACAUGUGUAGGAUAGGUGGGAGGCUUUGAAGCACGUACGCCAGUAUGUGUGGAGCCGUCCUUGAAAUACCACCCUUGUAGUGUUGAUGUUCUAACGUCGACCCCUUAUCGGGGUUGCGGACAGUGCCUGGUGGGUAGUUUGACUGGGGCGGUCUCCUCCCAAAGAGUAACGGAGGAGCACGAAGGUGGGCUAAUCACGGUUGGACAUCGUGAGGUUAGUGCAAUGGCAUAAGCCCGCUUGACUGCGAGAAUGACAAUUCGAGCAGGUGCGAAAGCAGGUCAUAGUGAUCCGGUGGUUCUGAAUGGAAGGGCCAUCGCUCAACGGAUAAAAGGUACUCCGGGGAUAACAGGCUGAUACCGCCCAAGAGUUCAUAUCGACGGCGGUGUUUGGCACCUCGAUGUCGGCUCAUCACAUCCUGGGGCUGAAGUCGGUCCCAAGGGUAUGGCUGUUCGCCAUUUAAAGUGGUACGCGAGCUGGGUUUAGAACGUCGUGAGACAGUUCGGUCCCUAUCUGCCGUGGGCGUUGGAAGAUUGAAGGGGGCUGCUCCUAGUACGAGAGGACCGGAGUGGACGAACCUCUGGUGUUCGGGUUGUGUCGCCAGACGCAUUGCCCGGUAGCUAAGUUCGGAAUCGAUAACCGCUGAAAGCAUCUAAGCGGGAAGCGAGCCCUGAGAUGAGUCUUCCCUGAUACUUUAAGUAUCCUAAAGGGUUGUCGGAGACUACGACGUUGAUAGGUCAGGUGUGUAAGUGCUGUGAGGCAUUGAGCUAACUGAUACUAAUUGCCCGUGAGGCUUAACCAUACAACACCCAAGGGGUUU
rnacentral:rRNA from 1 species